rnacentral:tRNA from 1 species
CCUCUCCGUAGUGCGGGCACUGGUCAUCACCGGCCCCGGCAGGGCCGAGGUCGUGGACGUGGGGCCGCCGGUCGCGGCGGCGGGGCAGGU